UUUUCAGAUUCGAAUCAAUGGGUUGGACUCAUCUAUUGCGCAAUCGUCUCCACAAACGGGUCAAAAAAGAUUACCCUCGAAUCCACGGCGGCACCACCUUUCUUUCACCACCACCACCACCGUCAUGGGUCUUUCCAUCUCCUCUUGCAACUUCUUUUCUCGCAACCAAAACCUCCAAGAAAUUCAAGAAGAAACGCAAAAAAGAUGAGGCGAUUUCAACAAAGUCCCAAAUCUGAAACCCUUCCAUUUGUGAGUUGGGGAGAAAAAAUCAGGGUUUUGAUUACUCUGUUUGUCACCUUGAAUUAGCCAAGCCAUGAGAAUGGAAAAAAUGGAAGUACCCAGACAUUAAAGUCUACAGACUAC
rnacentral:lncRNA from 1 species